ensembl:lncRNA
CUCUACUGUGCCUUUGAUCCUCUCCAGGGCAGCUGAACUAUCUUCCAUUCCCAGGAUACAGCCUCUGCUUGUUUCUUCUGCUUCAUUAGCUCAAUGCCAGCAACAGCAUCUGCACUAAUAGCUUGAGAAAUUGCUGGGACUAAGUUUGUCCAUUUCUUCAUCAGGUUCUCUCAAGAUUUGGGUAUUAAAGACUGUCUGCUGGAGAGUUUGUCAGCACUGGGCCUAAAAUCAGUGCUGCAUGGUGCUGCUGUAUGGCUUGCUGUAAUUGCUGUCGUUUCUCUUCCUAAUCCUGUCUUUAUUGACAUAAAACCUUAUCUUGACACUCUUUUCCACCCCUUUUAAAAGGGAAGACUGUUAAGUCACUCACUGUUUUUCUUAUCUGUUGAUGAAGGGCUUGCACUGCCUGCUGUUACGAAGGGUACAUUUUAUAGUAGGGCACUGGAACUCCUUUUCAUCGUCUGGAAUCUGCAGACCUGCCUUACUCGCUUGUUCACGGCAUUCUCUCAGCUAGUGAAAGAAGCUGUCAUCACUGAAGAGAGUGUUGUUCAUAAUCAAGUAAUCCACUGGUGCAUAUUGGACCCAAUCAGGAAUCUAAGAAUGAACAUGGAUGAGGAGGGUUCUUCUGUAUCUCUAAAUAUCUGUGUUGACUUGAUUUACCAAAGAGCUGCUCCUGCUGCCUACCUUCCACACAGGACAUUGGGAAGCUCUUCCAGGACAGCUCAAAUGUACCUUGCUCAGCAGGCCGUGCUAAGCUGGUCAUCACCUGUGGCUGGCAUCUCUCUUAUCUGUGAGAUGACUUUCCACAUCCACAUAUGAAUGAAGCACUAAAUCAUAG